rnacentral:rRNA from 1 species
UACGUAGGAUGCGAGCGUUGUCCGGAAUUAUUGGGCGUAAAGAGAACGUAGGCGGUUUGUUAAGUUUGGGCUUAAAGACUGGGGCUCAACCCCAGGAGUGGCCUGAAAACUGACAGACUAGAGGAUGGCAGAGGAAAGUGGAAUUCCCAGUGUAGCGGUGAAAUGCGUAGAUAUUGGGAGGAACACCAGUGGCGAAAGCGACUUUCUGGGCCAUUCCUGACGCUGAGGUUCGAAAGCUCGGGGAGCAAACAGG